UUUGACCGAACCGAGCAGCAACGGCCGUUCCCGAUCCUGGCCGUAGGUCGCCAGCAGUGCCUGCGCCUC
rnacentral:antisense_RNA from 1 species